rnacentral:rRNA from 1 species
UACGGAGGGGGCUAGCGUUGUUCGGAAUUACUGGGCGUAAAGGGCGCGUAGGCGGCCUUCUAAGUCGAACGUGAAAUCCCUGGGCUCAACCCAGGAACUGCGUCCGAUACUGGAAGGCUUGAAUCCGGGAGAGGGAUGCGGAAUUCCAGGUGUAGCGGUGAAAUGCGUAGAUAUCUGGAGGAACACCGGUGGCGAAGGCGGCAGUCCUGGACCGGUAUUCGACGCUGAGGCGCGAAAGCCAGGGGAGCAAAGCGGGG